AUUGAACGCUGGCGGCAGGCCUAACACAUGCAAGUCGAGCGGAUGAAGGGAGCUUGCUCCUGGAUUCAGCGGCGGACGGGUGAGUAAUGCCUAGGAAUCUGCCUGGUAGUGGGGGAUAACGUCCGGAAACGGGCGCUAAUACCGCAUACGUCCUGAGGGAGAAAGUGGGGGAUCUUCGGACCUCACGCUAUCAGAUGAGCCUAGGUCGGAUUAGCUAGUUGGUGGGGUAAAGGCCUACCAAGGCGACGAUCCGUAACUGGUCUGAGAGGAUGAUCAGUCACACUGGAACUGAGACACGGUCCAGACUCCUACGGGAGGCAGCAGUGGGGAAUAGUGGACAAUGGGCGAAAGCCUGAUCCAGCCAGGCCGCGUGUGUGAAGAAGGUCUUCGGAUUGUAAAGCACUUUAAGUUGGGAGGAAGGGCAGUAAGUUAAUACCUUGCUGUUUUGACGUUACCAACAGAAUAAGCACCGGCUAACUUCGUG
rnacentral:rRNA from 1 species